CCCCCCCGCGCCACGAGGGAUCCAUCGGCAACGAUCGAACGUCGAUCCACCACCACCUUCGAUCGAGCGUUGCGCGGAGGCUCGUCGGUCGUUCGUUUCGCCACACCGUCACCCGUCUUCUCGCGAGUUGGUUGUUUAUCAUCGCGGAGGGAGCAUCGUACGACCUCGCCAGGGUGUUUUCGCGCGGUGACGGAACGUGUCGGAGCACAGUCAGCUAAGCGCCGGUGGUCCGAGCCAGGUUUCGCGAUACGCGAUACACGUCCGCGAGCAGUGGGUGAGAAGUGGUGGCAAGUGAACCCCGCGAAUUAUUCUCGCGAAAGAAAUCUCCGCGCGUGAUUACGACCCUCCGCGACUCCGGAAGGAUACGCGCUCCCACGGGCCGGGAAGGGGGGUGGGGAGGGCAGUCAGUGAAAAGAGAAACAGUGAUACGGGGACAGAGACAGGGAUAAAGAGAGGAGGUGGUGGCGGUGACUGGGAAGAGAGGGAGAAAGAAAGAGUGAGAGAAACCCGUUAAGGCGGUACGAGUAACGUGUCGGUAGAAGUUCUUGCGAUUGAUAGAGGGACCGAGAGAGAGAGGAACAGAGCGAGGUCGACGAAGGUAAUCGGUAGCAUCAACCUGCGUGCUUCGACAAGACCGAUUAAAGGCGAGCGAACGACGAUCCUUUCGUCUUCUUUGUCGCUAAUUCCCUUCGUCGAAGGCGUUUCGUCGAUCGUCUCCUAACCGCCGAUCGGAUUCACCCAGGAUCAUUCGCAGUGUAACGAGUACCCUCGGCGAUAUAUCGGACACGGGAAGUCAGAAACGAUUCGGUCGGUCGUUUUCAUUCAGGAUACAUCGAACGUCGCCUCGAUGCUACCUCGUAAACCAAUCCCGUGGUUUCCUAUCUUCGCGAACAAGCCGUUCUGACUACCGCGAGCUGGUUCCUUCGACCGUGUCGUUGAUUGCUCCAUCCUACCGCGGAAGAACCGCUGCCACGGCGGUCAGCGAUAAUGCGAGAGUACCGAAAACGCGGUACAAGGACGGUAACAGAGGACCAGUUGCCGCAUCCUCGGUGUUCGGCGAGAAGCUUCCAAGCGAGCCUGUGUUCGGCGAAACCGGAGUAACCAUGAGGUGGUCAUCGUAUUCUUCCAUCGUAGACGCGCCUUUUCACUCUUGCGACUGCCACCGCGACCAAACGAAUCGCCGGUGGCUCUGAUCCAGCUGAUCAUCGACGGGUGUACAAGUUCGCCGGACACGGAGGCCGACGUGGAAAACGAUAGAACGAGCAAAGAUACGAGCGCCAGCGAUAUCGAGAUAAAAGCGAGGAAGCGGCGCGUAGAUAAGAAGGAGGGCUCGGAAAGGAGUGUGGAUGAGACCGUCAUGCCCGCUGAGAUCGACACGGGCGGGCCAAGGGUGCUGCACUGUGAUUACCGUGCCGACUGCCCGAUACCGAUCGUAGCCUCAGCUUCCACCGAGUCUUCCUUGCGCCGCGAUAAUAGAGCCGUUCGAGCCUCCAUCGCGCGACGACUACCGCGGAUCGAUUCCAACGAAUCGCUCGACGAAGAAGCUACGAAGUCUCGUCGUUGCUCCGUUUUGCCAUCGAGACGAGCAGGAUCGAGAGGAUUCCAAAGAACCGAGCCAAACGUUCCUAGGCUUGCCGAUGCGUCGCAAGCCAUCCGAGAUGAUCGCGAUGACUCUUGCCUGGAACUGCCAGAGUCCAGGCUCCGCGGUGUCGUCGACGAGCACGCGGAGAAUUCAGUGACAAAGCGUUGGCGAUUUCGUGCUUUCGAUCCCACGAGGAAUCGAUUCCCGAGCGGGAACGACGGGGAACGGGGCUGCUGCUCUAAACGCGAUUUCUCGGCCGAGAACUGGCCGCAGGUCCACGCAGCGGAUUGCGUGCGAAUAGGGAAGGCAUUGUUCUCUAGUCAGUCGAGCGACCGAACCUACGAGAAGCUCGUUCCAGGGAGCGUGCUUCCGUCCUUGGUCGAUGAAACGUGGAAGGAAGUGGACUCGACGAAUUCCUGGAGACGUGAGUCGUGCGUCGCCAAGGUCGCGCCGAGCGUUCGCCAGACCGAGUUUCCUCGUGACGACGGGUCCACGAGGUGUCCCCGGGGAACGAGGAAGAAGAGACGCGAGUGUCCAAACAGCCGUUCGUCGUACAUUCGGUUAGCCUUUCUCCUGUUCCUCGUCGCGUUCGGGCAGUGCGGGCUCCGUAAAUCGAGCGUGUUCAACUGCAGUGCGAGACCGAGUACCGGCGUGUUGAGUGUAUUCGCGAUUGGCACAGUUAUCAGUGCAGUGAGUGCCGCGCCGGUUGAUUUAACGGGCGAUGCCGGCGUGAGGGCCGAACGAUCCGCCAAUUUGUCCCACAUCACCGGCGCUUCCAGGAAAAUACAGAUGUACAUCAAGAAUCGACAUCUACAGAUCCUGCCGGAUGGCACGGUGAACGGAUCCAACGACGACACGUCGGAUUACAGUGAGUACUGCGCUUUCGAUUAUUUAUGUGACGUCCACCUCGCGCUCUCCACGGGAGUAAUCGUUCGCGACCAGUCGCGGAAAACUGUCGCUAAACGGAAACCUCUCUCGUGCUAGAGAACUGCUCUUGGUUUAUCGCAGGUUAUUGCAAAGUUCAUAGCACUUGGACGAAGUAGGCCGUGUGCGAGAUACGGUAGAGACUGAAUGAUUUCGUCUACACCGGCGUGUCCCGUGGAUAUUUUAAACUAUUCCUUGAAAAACGAUCGGAAUCGCGAAAUCAAACCUUUGUCGAUAUCUGCUGGGAUCGAUGAACGAUAGGGGUUAUUUAAAAAAUCAAUAUUAGACGAGAUGCGUGUACAACAUUUAUUGCGUUAGUCGGUCAAAUUAUAUCAGAUUGUCCGAAAAGUUUCUUUCGUUUUAUUGAUAAGUAAUACAUGCACGAUAUUUUAUGUCCAAUGUUACGUUAUUGAAUUGCGUACGAUUCAUUUUGCUCCAUUACUGUUACACCGUCGACAUCCAAGAAAUUAGAUUGUCUAUUUAUAUAAACACUACCGCGCAAAAUAAUUGAGUGGAAAUUACGAAAGAAACUUUCGGGACAACCUAAUACUUGACUUUUGGAAAAGAUUUAUUCGACAGAACCACUGAUAAUCGCCAAUAACGUGAUGUACAAAUGAAAUACUAGAACACCUUUAGGAAAAAGCCUUUACAAGUGGUCCGAGAAGUUUGAGUGUUGGUUCGUUUACGAUCGACGUCAGCUGUUUCAAAUCCUACAGAGUUCGGAGACUCCGCUUGGACGGACGUGUUCGAUAUCCCAAGUUCCCGAUUGUGCAUUCGAGACGAAUAAAAAUCGUGGAAUUUCAGCAUUCCGUACGGAACGUCGCGUCAUCGGCUCGCUGGUGGAGAUUAGCAGGCUAGCAAAUUUGGAAGUUAACGCGCAACGUGAACGAGAGCUCUUGCCGAGAUCCCCUCGAGACUUUUACUAAGAAAAUUAAUUGGACACCUUAUCGAACUUCAUUAAGAUAAACGCUCCGGUACCGAGAUCCAUUGAUUACGAAGAGUAGGUGAAAAUACCGCGGGAUUGUAAAUGCUGGUUUAAUUACUGAAGCUUUUCGAGGAUUUCGAACGUAUCUAACGAUUAGGCUUAAUAACAUUACAUAUUCGGGGUUUUUAAGUCCGUACGAAACGCGAUACUUUGCAUUAAUUUUA